AUUGAACGCUGGCGGCAUGCUUUACACAUGCAAGUCGAACGGCAGCGCGGGCUUCGGCCUGGCGGCGAGUGGCGAACGGGUGAGUAAUACAUCGGAACGUGCCCAGUAGUGGGGGAUAGCUCGGCGAAAGCCGGAUUAAUACCGCAUACGACCUGAGGGUGAAAGCGGGGGAUCUUCGGACCUCGCGCUAUUGGAGCGGCCGAUGGCAGAUUAGCUAGUUGGUGGGGUAAAGGCCUACCAAGGCGACGAUCUGUAGCUGGUCUGAGAGGACGACCAGCCACACUGGGACUGAGACACGGCCCAGAUUCCUACGGGAGGCAGCAGUGGGGAAUUUUGGACAAUGGGCGAAAGCCUGAUCCAGCAAUGCCGCGUGUGUGAUGAAGGCCUUCGGGUUGUAAAGCACUUUUGGCGGGAACGAAAAGGACUGUGCCAAUACCACGGUUCGAUGACGGUACCCGCAGAAUAAGCACCGGCUAACUACGUG
rnacentral:rRNA from 1 species